ACAUAUAAACAAAUAUUUUUAAUUAAUUAAUUACUACGCUACAUUACAUAAAAAGAAAUAUUUUUAAUACAUUUUUUCAAAAAAAAAUUAAUUUAAAACUCACGUCGGUUUAAAAAAGUCAGUGAUAGGUUUCUGGGUGAAUGUAACUUCAUAGUUUUCUAGUCACUGUUUCCUGAUGCUGUUCAACUGGUCAUCAAAUUUGCAAUCUAACUCUGCACUGGUGACUGGUUUGGGAAAAUUUGACGAGAGUAUCAAAGGCUGCCAACACAUCAGCCCGAGAGGAUUUAUCCACUGGAGGUUCAGUAGGUUCAAUUUCUUGAUCUAAAAUUUCGGGUUUUUUAUCUUCUCCAUCUUUUCCAGCAUUUUCAUCGCAGACCUCGAGAUCAUUUCCAUUUGUAUAAAAAAUAGAUACAUAUGUACAUAUUGACAUUUUUCUAUUCGUGUUAAUCAACAAAACGACAAUAUGGUACCUUAAAUUUGUUCGAGUUUCGUGUUAACCGAAAUAAUUCGUAUAAACCGAGGAAAUAAAAAAAACCCCAUCUUAUAGUAUAGAGCCUUUCUCGGGACCGAAAAACCGGUUCACGUUUUCCAAUAAUUUGUGUUAACCGAGUUCCUGUUAGCGAGGGAAUACAACUGUAUAAUGUAAAAUGUUUAUUAUGCAGUAAACAGAAUAAAUUACCACAGGGCACAGACAAGUACAUUAAAGAAUUUGUGAGUGCCUAUUGCCGUUGUGUUGCACUAGUGUUGGCAGCACUUUCGACAGCAGCGAUGGUGCUUACAUAAUUAUUGGCUAUAUUCGUUAUUCUCGUUAUGUUGUUUAAAAGUUGCUCCCUUCAGUCUCUCCUCUCUUUGCCGUCGUUCGGAUAAGUCCUAUAGCCUUUAGGGGUAAUAGUAAUAGCUGCUACCCAGUUAUUAGUUAAUCGUUAUUACGUAACAGCCACCUUUUUUUGUUAUGCAUGCAAAAACUUCGUGUAUUUUUAUAGUGAAGUUUUUUUAUAUUAUUGUCUGCUGUGAUCAACGCUGGUUUUCUUGUUCUAUUGUCUGCCUAGGGUUGUCACUUUACCAGCAAUAGGACAAUUCUGACACCUUGUGUCUGUUGGUCCAGCUUUGUGAAUUGCACGUUGUUCAUUUGUUUGGCUGGUUGUCUUGUGCCAGUACCAUUUGUUCUGUGUGGCCAUGUUAUGUAAGUGAAUUAUACCUUUUAUAGUUGUGUGAGCUGCAGCUCGAUAUUUAGUACCAGUGUUUUAGUCACCUCAGUAAAUUUAUAUGAUUUUUAGGCUGACCGCCUGAGGCACUAUUGGCAUUUUGCUAUUAUUAUUAUUAUAUUGUUACAAAGGCCGUUUAAGGCAAGAUUGAUUUAUUAUAUUAUUAUUAUUAUUGUCACCAGAGCCAUUUUAGCCAUAAGUGUAUUUUUUUCAGUGUAAUUAUUUUGCCUUAAGCGUUUGUAUUAUUUAUUAUAUUUAUUUCUGUCAUUUGAGUCAACUUGGCUGUGAAUUAUUAAAUUAUUUUCUCUAUUGUAAUUAUAUUGGACCAAGUGGUCAGUUAUAUUCUAUCUCAUUCACAUUUAUAUAUUUAUUAUUGCUAAUUUGCAUUAACUAUUUGUUUAUUAUAUUACCAACCGGGCAGUUUGUUUUAUGA